AGCCCUCGGAGAGGGGGACGGAACAAGACUGGAAACGGACGUGCUAAUAACCGCCAUGAUGUUGUCGGGAAGGACGAUCUUCCUGCACCAAAGAAUUAUUCGCUCCUGGGGAUGGGCUCAUGUCUGAUUAGAUAGUUGGCGGGGUAACGGCCCACCAAGUCUGCGAUCAGUAGCCGGACUGAGAGGUUGAACGGCCACAUUGGGACUGAGAUACGGCCCAGACUCCUACGGGAGGCAGCAGUGGGGAAUAUUGGGCAAUGGGCGCAAGCCUGAACCCCCAGCAACGCCGCGUGAAGGAAGAAGGCUUUCGGGUUGUAAACUUCUUUUAUCAGGGACGAAGAAAGUGACGGUACCUGAUGAAUAAGCCACGGCUAACUACGUGCCAGCAGCAGC
rnacentral:rRNA from 1 species